rnacentral:rRNA from 1 species
AGUGAGCGCUGGCGGUAGGCCUAACACAUGCAAGUCGAACGGCAGCACAGUAAGAGCUUGCUCUUACGGGUGGCGAGUGGCGGACGGGUGAGGAAUACAUCGGAAUCUACUUUUUCGUGGGGGAUAACGUAGGGAAACUUACGCUAAUACCGCAUACGACCUACGGGUGAAAGCAGGGGAUCUUCGGACCUUGCGCGAUUGAAUGAGCCGAUGUCGGAUUAGCUAGUUGGCGGGGUAAAGGCCCACCAAGGCGACGAUCCGUAGCUGGUCUGAGAGGAUGAUCAGCCACACUGUAACUGAGACACGGUCCAGACUCCUACGGGAGGCAGCAGUGGGGAAUAUUGGACAAUGGGCGCAAGCCUGAUCCAGCCAUACCGCGUGGGUGAAGAAGGCCUUCGGGUUGUAAAGCCCUUUUGUUGGGAAAGAAAAGCAGCAGGUUAAUACCCCGCUGUUCUGACGGUACCCAAAGAAUAAGCACCGGCUAACUUCGUG